UCUCAUUUGUGAUCCAAUAUGUGAUCUAUUUUGGAGAAUGUUCCAUGUGCCCUCAAAAAGAACGUGUAUUCUGCUGCCUUAGGAUGAAACGUUCUGAAGGUAUUUGUCAAGUCCAUCUGAUCCA